rnacentral:misc_RNA from 1 species
CCCCUGGGUACAUGAACCACUCGGUGUUCCUGUUCAGAUCCGCCGGCGGAACCGCCUUCACAUAGAGAUUCGCCAUAUCACGUAUCUGAUCUUAUUGUAUCCCCGAGCUGAUGAUUCAACGAGCUCUUGUGAUUUGGGAAAUAAAAUUCUCCAGAAACUGUGUGAUUUGAGAAUCCAAUUCCAAACCCUGUCCCAGAUUGUGCUUUGCCCUUCUG